rnacentral:tRNA from 1 species
UUGGGACGUAACUCAAUGGCAGAGUGCCUCUCUUUGAAAGAGGAAGUUGUUGGUUCAAGUCCAACCGUCUCAGU